rnacentral:rRNA from 1 species
AGGCGGAAUUCGUGGUGUAGCGGUGAAAUGCUUAGAUAUCACGAAGAACUCCGAUUGCGAAGGCAGCCUGCUAAGCUGCAACUGACAUUGAGGCUCGAAAGUGUGGGUAUCAAACAGGAUUAGAUACCCUGGUAGUCCACACGGUAAACGAUGAAUACUCGCUGUUUGCGAUAUACUGCAAGCGGCCAAGCGAAAGCGUUAAGUAUUCCACCUGGGGAGUACGCCGGCAACGGUGAAACUCAAAGGAAUUGACGGGGGCCCGCACAAGCGGAGGAACAUGUGGUUUAAUUCGAUGAUACGCGAGGAACCUUACCCGGGCUUAAAUUGCAGAUGAAUUACGGUGAAAGCCGUAAGCCGCAAGGCAUCUGUGAAGGUGCUGCAUGGUUGUCGUCAGCUCGUGCCGUGAGGUGUCGGCUUAAGUGCCAUAACGAGCGCAACCCUUGUUGUCAGUUACUAACAGGUUCCGCUGAGGACUCUGACAAGACUGCCAUCGUAAGAUGUGAGGAAGGUGGGGAUGACGUCAAAUCAGCACGGCCCUUACGUCCGGGGCUACACACGUGUUACAAUGGGGGGUACAGAGGGCCGCUACCACGCGAGUGGAUGCCAAUCCCCAAAACCUCUCUCAGUUCGGACUGGAGUCUGCAACCCGACUCCACGAAGCUGGAUUCGCUAGUAAUCGCGCAUCAGCCACGGCGCGGUGAAUACGUUCCCGGGCCUUGUACACACCGCCCGUCAAGCCAUGGGAGCCGGGGGUACCUGAAGUGCGUAACCGCGAGGAGCGCCCUAGGGUAAAACUGGUGACUGGGGCUAAGUCGUAACAAGGUAGCCGUACCGGAAGGUGCGGCUG